rnacentral:rRNA from 1 species
CCUACGGGGGGCUGCAGUGAGGAAUAUUGGUCAAUGGACGAGAGUCUGAACCAGCCAAGUAGCGUGAAGGAUGACUGCCCUAUGGGUUGUAAACUUCUUUUAUAUGGGAAUAAAAUGUUCCACGUGUGGGAUUUUGUAUGUACCAUAUGAAUAAGGAUCGGCUAACUCCGUGCCAGCAGCCGCGGUAAUACGGAGGAUCCGAGCGUUAUCCGGAUUUAUUGGGUUUAAAGGGAGCGUAGGUGGAUUGUUAAGUCAGUUGUGAAAGUUUGCGGCUCAACCGUAAAAUUGCAGUUGAAACUGGCAGUCUUGAGUACAGUAGAGGUGGGCGGAAUUCGUGGUGUAGCGGUGAAAUGCUUAGAUAUCACGAAGAACUCCGAUUGCGAAGGCAGCUCACUGGACUGAAACUGACACUGAGGCUCGAAAGUGUGGGUAUCGAACAGGAUUAGAUACCCUAGUAGUC